UGGGGAAUUUUGGACAAUGGGCGAAAGCCUGAUCCAGCAAUGCCGCGUGUGUGAAGAAGGCCUUCGGGUUGUAAAGCACUUUUGUCCGGAAAGAAAUCCUCGGCUCUAAUACAGUCGGGGGAUGACGGUACCGGAAGAAUAAGCACCGGCUAACUACGUGCCAGCAGCCGCGGUAAUACGUAGGGUGCAAGCGUUAAUCGGAAUUACUGGGCGUAAAGCGUGCGCAGGCGGUUUGCUAAGACCGAUGUGAAAUCCCCGGGCUCAACCUGGGAACUGCAUUGGUGACUGGCAGGCUAGAGUAUGGCAGAGGGGGGUAGAAUUCCACGUGUAGCAGUGAAAUGCGUAGAGAUGUGGAGGAAUACCGAUGGCGAAGGCAGCCCCCUGGGCCAAAUACUGACGCUCAUGCACGAAAGCGUGGGGGAGCAAAACAGGAUUAGAUACCCUGGUAGUCCACGCCCUAAAACGAUGUCAACUAGUUGUUGGGGAUUCAUUUCCUUAGUAACGUAGCUAACGCGUGAAGUUGACCGCCUGGGGGAGUACGGUCGCAAGAUUAAAACUUAAAUGAAUUGACGGGGUCAUAGCUGUUUCCU
rnacentral:rRNA from 1 species